UACGGAGGGUGCGAGCGUUAUCCGGAAUCACUGGGUUUAAAGGGUGCGUAGGCGGUUUGAUAAGUCAGUGGUGAAAGGCCGUCGCUUAACGAUGGGACUGCCAUUGAUACUGUUAGACUUGAAUCAGGAUGAGGUUGGCGGAAUGUGGCAUGUAGCGGUGAAAUGCUUAGAUAUGCCAUGGAAUACCGAUUGCGAAGGCAGCUGACUGGACCUGAAUUGACGCUGAGGCACGAAAGCGUGGGGAGCGAACAGG
rnacentral:rRNA from 1 species